rnacentral:rRNA from 1 species
GACGAACGCUGGCGGCGUGCUUAACACAUGCAAGUCGAACGAAGAGCGAUGGAAGCUUGCUUCUAUCAAUCUUAGUGGCGAACGGGUGAGUAACGCGUAAUCAACCUGCCCUUCAGAGGGGGACAACAGUUGGAAACGACUGCUAAUACCGCAUACGAUCUAAUCUCGGCAUCGAGGAUAGAUGAAAGGUGGCCUCUACAUGUAAGCUAUCACUGAAGGAGGGGAUUGCGUCUGAUUAGCUAGUUGGAGGGGUAACGGCCCACCAAGGCGAUGAUCAGUAGCCGGUCUGAGAGGAUGAACGGCCACAUUGGGACUGAGACACGGCCCAGACUCCUACGGGAGGCAGCAGUGGGGAAUCUUCCGCAAUGGACGAAAGUCUGACGGAGCAACGCCGCGUGAGUGAUGACGGCCUUCGGGUUGUAAAGCUCUGUUAAUCGGGACGAAAGGCCUUCUUGCGAAUAGUGAGAAGGAUUGACGGUACCGGAAUAGAUAGCCACGGCUAACUACGUG